GCCCCGAUAGCUCAGUCGGUAGAGCAAAGGACUGAAAAUCCUUGUGUCGCUGGUUCGAUUCCGGCUCGGGGCA
rnacentral:tRNA from 1 species